rnacentral:rRNA from 1 species
AUACGUAGGGGGCGAGCGUUGUCCGGAAUGUUUGGGCGUAAAGGGCGCGUAGGCGGCCCGGUAAGUCUGGAGUGAAAGUCCUGCUUUUACGGUGGGAAUUGCUUUGGAUACUGUCGGGCUUGCGUGCAGGAGAGGUUAGUGGAAUUCCCAGUGUAGCGGUGAAAUGCGUAGAGAUUGGGAGGAACACUAGUGGCGAAGGCGAUUUACUGGACUGUAACUGACGCUGAGACGUGAGAGUUUGUGGAGCAAACAGGAUUAGAUUCCCUGUUAGUCCACACUGUAAUCGAUGAAUGCUAGGUGUAGGUAGUAACGACCCCUUCUGUGCCGCAGGUAACACAAUAAGCAUACCGACUGGGGAGUACGGCCGCAAGGUUGAAACUUAAAGGAAUUGACGGGG